CCUGGCUCAGGAUGAACGCUAGCUACAGGCUUAACACAUGCAAGUCGAGGGGCAGCAUGGUCUUAGCUUGCUAAGGCCGAUGGCGACCGGCGCACGGGUGAGCAACACGUAUCCAACCUGCCGUCUACUCUUGGACAGCCUUCUGAAAGGAAGAUUAAUACAAGAUGGCAUCAUGAGUCCGCAUGUUCACAUGAUUAAAGGUAUUCCGGUAGACGAUGGGGAUGCGUUCCAUUAGAUAGUAGGCGGGGUAACGGCCCACCUAGUCUUCGAUGGAUAGGGGUUCUGAGAGGAAGGUCCCCCACAUUGGAACUGAGACACGGUCCAAACUCCUACGGGAGGCAGCAGUGAGGAAUAUUGGUCAAUGGGCGAGAGCCUGAACCAGCCAAGCAGCGUGAAGGAUGACUGCCCUAUGGGUUGUAAACUUCUUUUAUAAAGGAAUAAAGUCGGGUAUGGAUACCCGUUUGCAUGUACUUUAUGAAUAAGGAUCGGCUAACUCCGUGCCAGCAGCCGCGGUAAUACGGAGGAUCCGAGCGUUAUCCGGAUUUAUUGGGUUUAAAGGGAGCGUAGAUGGAUGUUUAAGUCAGUUGUGAAAGUUUGCGGCUCAACCGUAAAAUUGCAGUUGAUACUGGAUAUCUUGAGUGCAGUUGAGGCAGGCGGAAUUCGUGGUGUAGCGGUGAAAUGCUUAGAUAUCACGAAGAACUCCGAUUGCGAAGGCAGCCUGCUAAGCUGCAACUGACAUGAGGCUCGAAAGUGUGGGUAUCAAACAGGAUUAGAUACCCUGGUAGUCCACACGGUAAACGAUGAAUACUCGCUGUUUGCGAUAUACUGCAAGCGGCCAAGCGAAAGCGUUAAGUAUUCCACCUGGGGAGUACGCCGGCAACGGUGAAACUCAAAGGAAUUGACGGGGGCCCGCACAAGCGGAGGAACAUGUGGUUUAAUUCGAUGAUACGCGAGGAACCUUACCCGGGCUUAAAUUGCAGAUGAAUUACGGUGAAAGCCGUAAGCCGCAAGGCAUCUGUGAAGGUGCUGCAUGGUUGUCGUCAGCCCGUGCCGUGAGGUGUCGGCUUAAGUGCCAUAACGAGCGCAACCCUUGUUAUCAGUUACUAACAGGUUCCGCUGAGGACUCUGACAAGACUGCCAUCGUAAGAUGUGAGGAAGGUGGGGAUGACGUCAAAUCAGCACGGCCCUUACGUCCGGGGCUACACACGUGUUACAAUGGGGGGUACAGAGGGCCGCUACCACGCGAGUGGAUGCCAAUCCCCAAAACCUCUCUCAGUUCGGACUGGAGUCUGCAACCCGACUCCACGAAGCUGGAUUCGCUAGUAAUCGCGCAUCAGCCACGGCGCGGUGAAUACGUUCCCGGGCCUUGUACACACCGCC
rnacentral:rRNA from 1 species